CCGCCCAUCUUCUCACUUUCACCUGAGAGAUGAUACAGAAACAUGAUCAUUAUGAUUUCCAAUGACUCAUGCUCAGCAGCACAAAGUCAAAUUGAUUACCAAACCAUCCUCCAGGAAAUACUAGCCCUAAUCUGAACAUGCAUGGAAAGCCUCAAUUACAAGCUUCACCUCUCUGCUUUGAAAAUGUGGUGAUGGCCACCCAGUAUGAAGAAGGCUUCCUCAGUGCCAACAGCUGGAUAUUUUUAUUGUUGUAUCCUUUGCGGUCAUUGCUCAUUGAAGUCUGAUUUAGUAAGAAGAAUGCGAGCCACUCUUUAUUAGGUGUAAAUUGUGUAUUACUGUAUCAAGAGAAUGAUGUCGAUUUACAUGGGAUCAUGGCUUGGCUCACUCAGGCUCUGCUCCACUUUGCUGGACUCUUUUGGAACUGCAAAGUGGCAUCCUACUGAUUUCUUCUGUAACUCUUUUCCUCACAUCUCCCAAGCCCUGGUGUUUGUUUUUCCUGAUCUUAAAGCACAAUGUCUUAAUUAUGGUCAGAGAAAAGACAUAAGGAAAAGGAAUGUCAUGAUUUGUCUUUUAACUGCAGUUCUUACUGGUAUUUAUUUCAAAGUGCAAUUACAUGAACGGAAAUGACUAUGCAAAAAUGGCCUUUUCCUACUAACAAUCUCGGCUGCUUGUGUACAUUUGAGUAAAAUCUGCAGACCUUUGUUGACAUAAGCUUUAUUGCAGGUCAUAUUUAUUUUCCAGUCUUUAUUACAAAAUAGCCUUGCAGGAAAGUGUCUUCAGGGAGAGGAGAAGGGUAAAGAACCAGGGGGACCAGCGGUGCAGAUGUCAAUUCUGUCAGUUGCUUCUCUUGUGUCAGGCAGCUUUAGCUGCCGAAACUGUUAGCUUCUCCUGCCCCCUCGUGCAGAUUUGUGAACACUGCCAGCGACUUUCUCUGGCAGAAAUCUGCCAGCGAUACUGCAAAAUAGAAUAAACGAACACAAGAACUUCAGGAUAUAGCAAUUUUGUGAAGGAAUCUCUUUGUUAGCCAUGGGAAGAGAGCUGUCUAGUCCUGCACAGGAGAAUCUCCCAGGCCAUCAGAAUAGACAAGAUAUUUCUUGAAAACUUGGUUCUCCAGGCUGUAGGAAGCAGAGGCCUCUAAAAACAUGUUCAAAUUUGAAGCUGUGUCCGAACAUGUAAUCUGAGGAAUGGUAUCUUUGGUUUCCUCAGGAAUUAAGUGGAACAGUCAGCUGAGCCUUCCUGCCUUCCUCGUCUCUGCAGGGCAGUGUUGAGCAGCUCUCCCUCCCCUGGUCAGCAUCUGUUUGGCAUCUGGCUGGGUCCCUCUGUCACCUGGUGCUCUUUAUCCAAUCAUCUUGUAUCCAGAUGUCUCAGGCUAGACAUCUGUUCUGCUGCCCUAUGUCUUUCACUGUGCUGUUUUUAUUUUUUUUUAUUUUUUAGUGCCAUUAAUAGAAAAUAAAAUGUCAAGACAAGUAUCAAACAGUGCCUCAGA